rnacentral:rRNA from 1 species
UACGUAGGGGGCUAGCGUUGUCCGGAAUCAUUGGGCGUAAAGCGCGCGUAGGCGGCCAGAUAAGUCCGGUGUGAAAGUCACAGGCUCAACCUGUGAAUGCCGCUGGAAACUGUCUGGCUAGAGUCCGGAAGGGGCGAGUGGAAUUCCUGGUGUAGCGGUGAAAUGCGCAGAUAUCAGGAGGAACACCAAUGGCGAAGACAGCUCGCUGGAACGGUACUGACGCUGAGGCGCGAAAGCGUGGGGAGCGAACAGG